rnacentral:rRNA from 1 species
CCUACGGGAGACAGCAGUGAGGAAUAUUGGUCAAUGGCCGAGAGGCUGAACCAGCCAAGUCGCGUGAGGGAAGACGGCCCUACGGGUUGUAAACCUCUUUUGUCGGGGAGCAAAGCGAGUCACGUGUGACUCAUUGAGAGUACCCGAAGAAAAAGCAUCGGCUAACUCCGUGCCAGCAGCCGCGGUAAUACGGAGGAUGCGAGCGUUAUCCGGAUUUAUUGGGUUUAAAGGGUGCGCAGGCGGAGGUGCAAGUCAGCGGUCAAAUUGCGGGGCUCAACCCCGUACUGCCGUUGAAACUGCAGCCCUUGAGUGCGCGAGAAGUAUGCGGAAUGCGUGGUGUAGCGGUGAAAUGCAUAGAUAUCACGCAGAACUCCGAUUGCGAAGGCAGCAUACCGGCGCGCAACUGACGCUCAUGCACGAAAGCGUGGGUAUCGAACAGGAUUAGAUACCCCAGUAGUC